rnacentral:rRNA from 1 species
AUGUGUAUCCCAAAGGAGAGAGGAUGGAUGGGAUUUCGGGACAUUCAUAGUUUCAACCUGGCGAUGCUGGCGAAACAGUGUUGGAGAUUAAUUGAUAACUAUGGCUCCUUAGUGCGAGUAUUACGAGCCAAGUAUUACCCCACAGGAGAUAUACUGAACUGUCAACUAAAGAAGGGAUCGUCCUAUGUGUGGCAAAGUAUCUGGUCAGGAAUUCAAACUUUC